CCUACGGGGGGCAGCAGUGGGGAAUCUUGCGCAAUGGGCGAAAGCCUGACGCAGCAACGCCGCGUGGGGGAUGACGGCCUUCGGGUUGUAAACCUCUUUCGACAUCGACGAAGCCUUCGGGUGACGGUAGAUGUAGAAGAAGCACCGGCUAACUACGUGCCAGCAGCCGCGGUAAUACGUAGGGUGCGAGCGUUGUCCGGAAUUAUUGGGCGUAAAGAGCUCGUAGGCGGUUUGUCGCGUCGGCCGUGAAAACCUGCCGCUUAACGGUGGGCGUGCGGUCGAUACGGGCAGACUUGAGUUCGGUAGGGGAGACUGGAAUUCCUGGUGUAGCGGUGAAAUGCGCAGAUAUCAGGAGGAACACCGGUGGCGAAGGCGGGUCUCUGGGCCGAUACUGACGCUGAGGAGCGAAAGCGUGGGGAGCGAACAGGAUUA
rnacentral:rRNA from 1 species